rnacentral:rRNA from 1 species
GGCCUCUCGGGAAGCCUGGUCCAGACCUCCACCCUUGAUAAUUACCUUGUUGCUUUGGCAGGGCGCCUCGCGCCAGCGGCUUCGGCUGUUGAGUACCUGCCAGAGGACCACAACUCUUGUUUUUAGUGAUGUCUGAGUACUAUAUAAUAGUUAAAACUUUCAACAACGGAUCUCUUGGUUCUGGCAUCGAUGAAGAACGCAGCGAAAUGCGAUAAGUAAUGUGAAUUGCAGAAUUCAGUGAAUCAUCGAAUCUUUGAACGCACAUUGCGCCCUCUGGUAUUCCGGGGGGCAUGCCUGUUCGAGCGUCAUUAUAACCACUCAAGCUCUCGCUUGGUACUGGGGUUCGCGGUUUCGCGGCCUCUAAAAUCAGUGGCGGUGCCUAUCGGCUCUACGCGUAGUAAUACUCCUCGCGUCUGGGUCCGGUAGGUCUACUUGCCAACAACCCCCAAUUUUUUUUACAGGUUGACCUCGGAUCAGGUAGGGAUACCCGCUGAACUUAA